rnacentral:lncRNA from 1 species
UUUCAUCGGGGAGCCUCAUAGUCUUGGUCUUGGUCGGCGGUUGGAAGGCUUCAAGUUUAUCAUAUGUAUGCUUUCUUUCUGUUAUUGUUUGGAUAAAUGUUUUUUAAGUUGAUGAAACGGGUGCUGGAGUUUGGCUCUUUGGCGAAAAAUAAUGGUGCCAUAGAGAUGAAUGCAGCUACCUAUAUCAACCCCACCAACCGUUUCACCAAAAUUCGCCAUGAUUUGCUUCCUGUAUUUGGCGGAUUUCUUUGGUAUUUGAAUGGUACACACGAUACAAA